ensembl:lincRNA
CCGGGGCCUGUCCUGCGGGGCAGCUCCCGGAGCAGCCGCCCCGCCGUGGUGCUGGGCGCUCGCCCACGCCGGCCCCAACCCCUCAGCAUUCCUGGAGGCCCGCGGGAGGACUGCGGUGCGGGGGUGGCCGGACGCGCCCCAUGGGGGGGGCGUGUGACGGGGCUUGGCGUGACUCACGCUCCCUGAGCCGGGGGCUGGAGGUCAUCGGCCGCAGCUGCCACCCACGCUCUCCAGGUGGGGCCUGAACCUGCGCUGUGGCCUGCUCCCCCGCCCCGCUGGCCUCCCCGGAGCCGGCCACACGGCUUCCAGAAGCUUCCUCCAUGCCCGCACCCUGCCAGGCGGAGGCUGCGCAUCAGUGCCCAUGGAGGGGGUCGGGACAUGGACACAGCCCCCCGGCCAUGUGCUCGCGGAGGCCUGGCCUGGGCCCCAGAGGGAUCUGCCUGCCCGCUGCCUGCAGUGAGGGCCGGCCGCGCUGACCCACCACCCCAUUCUGACCCCGCUGGCUCUUCUCCGGAGAAACGGCUUCUCAUCUGAGCGGGCAGGAGGCAGCUGCGGGCUUGGCCUUCCUUUGGAAACCAGCAGGGCAGCACAGGGGCUGCGGGGCCGGAGCUUCUCUCCCGGGGACGGAUCCCCGUGGCUGUCCCCGUGGCCGGGCAGUGGGCCCCACCAGGAAGCCCCGUCACCCGGGGCGGCUGGGCCCCUGCUGCCGCGUUGGGGCUCCCUGGGGCCACGGGCAGGGCUGGCCGGCCUGGCCCCGCUGCUCUGGCCUGGGCCUCGGAUCCCAACUUGCAGGUUUCCUGAAGAAACUUCCGGAGGAAACGCAAGCGCGCCCGUUUCCUCUGUUCCCAGAACCGGCAGGGAGAGCCUCCUGGAGAGGCCAGGCGUGUUCCCGCGUGACUGCCACCCCGGGCCAGCGCAACCCACGCGCCUCAGUCUCCCCAGCCGUGGCCCUGGCCCUGGCCAGCCAGCUCCCCAGAGCGGGCUUCCCUGGCUCUGGAACCUUCCAGAGAGACAGGGCUGUCAGACCUCAGUGGCUGGGGACCACCAGCCCUGGCUGCACUGGACUCACAGCGGCUUUUGAGGUGGCCAGAGCCAGGAUCCUCGGAGGGCCAGCAGCUGGGGGGAGGGGCCAGCCCCGGGCCCCAGGCGUGCUGAGCCACCCAAGCGAGGGGACCUGCGGAGACCCAACGAUUCUGCAAGAGGCACGCCUGGCCGGAGCAGCUCGCCUGGCCGUCCUGACAACAGAUCCCAGGCGUCUGUAAAGGCAGGAAGGAAGAGGAAAGCACACAGGGCUGCAGGGCCCUGCCCCGACUUCCCUCGGGGCGCCCCUCUUCCGUGCUCGGUGGGGGCCCACCGGAACGUGCCGUCCUGGUAAGCGGCCUUCACUCGACUUCAGCAACAUUUACAGCAGUGGUGCCUCCUAUGCCAGAUGCAGGGGGUGAGGUACGGCACCCCAGGCCAUACCAGGUCCCGGCCGUUGAGGCGCCCAGAUUCCAGGCCCAGCCCUGUCCUUUCUGGAAGGGAAGCUCAUCCACAGAACGACUAGUCGGCGGCGUGGGCCUGGACCUGGGGAGGCCAAUGGGGCGCCGCAUAGAGCGCCGGGCACCAAGCACACACGGCCGGCCUCAGGGAGUCUCUGCUGGGGCUCUGGGGGUGGAUCCGCGGGUCCCCGUGCACCAGCCCCUGCACCAGCCCCUGCACCUCCAGCCUCUGUCCCGGGCCUGGAGCGCCGGCCACGCUCGACCAGGCCCAGCGCUUUGGGCGCCCUCAGGCGGGGAGCGCAGCGGAGGGGCCCCUUGUUGAGCCCCCUUUCGGCAUCGCUCACUCGCGCUGAGCCUGUCUUAGUCCGGCCAAGCCGCCGCGGCACACCACGCGUGCUUUCAGAGCAGGAAGUGCUUCGCCAAGGCCGCCGGCGGGGCCCCAGGGCCGGGCUGCCCAGGGGUCAGAAGCGACAGGCGCCGGCUGGUGGCCAUCCGGGGCGCCUCGCUCGUGGCGCUGCCCAUCAUGCGGCGACCGGCCUCGCUCCCUGACUCUGGCCUCUCCUGACGCGCGCGCCAGGCUUCCACUGCCGACA